rnacentral:lncRNA from 1 species
AACCUUUUGGUAGCAUUUAGGGGGUCAGAGCCUCCAGAAACCUCAAAGUAAUUAGUUGCCUCGGUUCCAGACAAGUUUGUAUCAGAGAGAGAAAGAAAAACGCACAGACAUGAUUUAGAGAGAAUGCAUUUCAUUGUGGUCCCUCUUGAUACAAGUUAAAAGCAUUUGGAGUUUGGAUAGUUCCUCUCUGGUCAAAUGGAUUGAUAGUAGAUUUGGAGUAGUAAGGGUGUGAAGUGUGUUGGAAUGUUUAUAGUAAUGCUCAGUUUGUUCCUUGUGGUCAGUCCUUCUCUGGGCGGAAUUACUUUGGUCUGAGACAUGAUAUUACCAGCAUUGUGGGUUGUAUAGAAAAACGGAAAUUUAAUGAACUACAUUAUAGCCAUAUGGUCAGAACUCUAGGGCCUCACUU